rnacentral:rRNA from 1 species
UACGAAGGGGGCUAGCGUUGCUCGGAAUCACUGGGCGUAAAGGGUGCGUAGGCGGGUCUUUAAGUCAGAGGUGAAAUCCUGGAGCUCAACUCCAGAACUGCCUUUGAUACUGAGGAUCUUGAGUACGGGAGAGGUGAGUGGAACUGCGAGUGUAGAGGUGAAAUUCGUAGAUAUUCGCAAGAACACCAGUGGCGAAGGCGGCUCACUGGCCCGUUACUGACGCUGAGGCACGAAAGCUAGGGGAGCAAACAGG